AGCGAACGCUGGCGGCAGGCCUAACACAUGCAAGUCGAGCGAACCUUUCGGGGUUAGUGGCGGACGGGUGAGUAACACGUGGGAACGUGCCUUUAGGUUCGGAAUAACUCAGGGAAACUUGUGCUAAUACCGAAUGUGCCCUUCGGGGGAAAGAUUUAUCGCCUUUAGAGCGGCCCGCGUCUGAUUAGCUAGUUGGUUGAGGUAAUGGCUCACCAAGGCGACGAUCAGUAGCUGGUUUGAGAGGAUGAUCAGCCACAUUGGGACUGAGACACGGCCCAAACUCCUACGGGAGGCAGCAGUGGGGAAUCUUGCGCAAUGGGCGAAAGCCUGACGCAGCCAUGCCGCGUGAAUGAUGAAGGUCUUAGGAUUGUAAAAUUCUUUCACCGGGGACGAUAAUGACGGUACCCGGAGAAGAAGCCCCGGCUAACUUCGUG
rnacentral:rRNA from 1 species